rnacentral:tRNA from 3 species
GCAGAGGUAGCCAAGCGGCUAAGGCGAGCGGCUGCAACCCGCUUAUUCCAGGGUUCGAGUCCCUGCCUCUGCU